rnacentral:rRNA from 1 species
UAGGGAAUCUUCCACAAUGGACGCAAGUCUGAUGGAGCAACGCCGCGUGAGUGAAGAAGAUCUUCGGAUCGUAAAACUCUGUUGUUAGAGAAGAACACGAGUGAGAGUAACUGUUCAUUCGGUGACGGUAUCUAACCAGCAAGUCACGGCUAACUACGUGCCAA